CGUUCUGUUUGUAAGUCCCGCUACAUUUCCAGGAGUUUAAAAUAAACGUGUUAUUUAAAGAGCAGACUGAUUCAUGAGCAGGAGUCAGACACUGGAACACGUCAGCGUGUUUUCAAACUACAGUACAGCCGGAUUUCACAUCAACACGCCUCCAGAGGAAACUAGAGAUUGGUCUGGAUUUUUCUGGAAUAAAAAAGGUCAAACCCGAGGAGCGCAUGGGGCAGACAUUUAUCACUUCCCGCCCUUUCCAUCAGGACUGGCCCUUUAAACCCGGUGUAUCCAGGGUCAGCGAGUUCUAGUCCAGCACUGAUUAGUUCAGAUUCUUUGAGCUGGACGAGGGCGCAGCAGUCUGCUGGACCGAGCUCUGGAUCCUGACACCACCAUCGGCUGCGUCCUCCCAGGCCUCUGCAGUGAAAGAUAACAGAACACAUUAGAAUGGAUUUCUCAGGACUAAUUUACUGCAUAAUUACUGUUGUAAAUUAACUCUCUCAUCACUAUAAAUUAACUCCACCGAGGUUGUGGAGGUUUUCACCUGUCUGUCAGCCGGAUUAAACACAAACUGCUGAACAGAUUUCCACAAAACUUGGAAGGAUGGGAGAUGGGCCAAGGCAGAACCCAUUAUGUUUUGGAGCAGAUCCGGACAAAGGGACAGAUCCAGGAUUUUCUUUAACAUUCCCAGGAAAUAAUUAAUGGAUCUUGUUGAAAGAUAUCAGGCAUUUUUCAUGGACAGAUCUCUUCAGGUGUGGGCAAUUUGGUGCUGAUAAAAAAUAAUCUGGAUCUAUCAGAUUUUAAUGUGGGAACAAUGAGGGACAGGCUUUGAUUUGUUUUUUUUCACUCUGAUUCAUUGUUCUUCUGAAAGGGAGAUGAUGAUUUUGUGAUCUCAAGGUUUUUUUGGCUUAGCAAUUAGGUUUGAUUGAAUAGUUAUGAAGGUAACUUUUGUUCCCAUUUUCAUUGAAAAAGAGACUGAAGGUGGAAACUUAUCCGCAAUUACCUCUCACCUCAGUCGCCUGCUGUUCUGUACACAGCGAAGCCGGCUCGUGCUUGUGCGGUUGCUCUGGACCUCAGGUACAUCAUUCUCAAGGUGCACCUUGUGGAGAACCAUCUCCAAGCUCAGAGCUAAAAAGAAAAAAGGCCACACAGACGAAAACAUUGAAAAAUCUCUAAAGUUUGUAAUAUGUUAGAUUAGAAAAAUAUAUGUGCCAGUUUUGUGACUUUCAGAACUUACUCUGGGAAGUAAGCACGUCAUAAAGAGACAACUAGGACACCAAACUUUGUUUUCAAAUAGAACAAAAGAGCCAAAAAACAGAAACAUGAGACUUUUCUGAGAAUGAGUUCAGAUAAUGAACAAUCUUACCAAUCAGUCCCUUCCAUUAGUGUGAACUCAUUCACAUGGAUGGGGGCAGCUCCUUUACUGCCUGGUGACAAGAGGCAACAUAUAAAGACAGUUCUGAUAUGAGACGCUGUUUUAAAGACACUCCAGCAUUUGAUGGCACUUGAAUACAAACCAAAAUGUGUGUGACAUGAUACAAGAAGCUGCUGUGGUCCCCACACCCCCGUCUUACCUGUGUACUAUAAAUAAUGUGGCUCUCCUACUACCAUCUGGUGGUGUUAAAAGGUACAUACACCAGUUUUGAGGGAAAUCCAUUGUUCUGAAAUCUGCCAAUUGCAUCUAUUUUUAGCCCACUGUCCCCACUGAGAUCUCAAUACAUUUUACAAGCAGCUCAAAUAGUAAUUAUUUGUGUAUUAAUUAACACAUUUACAACUGUCAAAAUGGCCAAAAAUGCAGCAUCGUUUAUUGGGACAAUGGAGCAGCGGCCGUGCUGAUGACGAACAGCUUCCUCUAGUGGCGUAGGAGAGGAAACAUCCACCCCACCUCUAUUCACUGAGUGUGAGUGAGUGUGUGUGUGUGCACUGGGAAGACAGCCGAGGUCAUUUUGGUGCAGUGAGCCAAGACAGGCAACAGGUGCUUGCAGGGUUUGUAACGCUUACCAAAUCCUUGACUGUGCCUUUUGGCUGUUAAAUCCAGUCUAAAGAUAAAUGCUUUUUGGCUCUUUAACUUGGAACAAUAUGCACUAUGUGAGGGAAAUGUGCACUUUUCUCCCAGAAAAAUGCUGACGAGACAAUUAAUUUAAUAUUUUUCAAUGAUUCUUCAGUCAACUUUAGUGACUUUUAAUCUUCAUAUCCUGGGGAAAAAAGAAAAAUCACACCCCUC